AGAAAGUGAGAAUUCCUAGAAAGCUCCAUAGUGAAACCCACAAAAGGUGACUCUUGUUUCAGAGUGUUUCUGUCAUUGGAAAUAUGGUAUCUAGAGACCCCCAAAGAUAUAUUGAGAGCCUCGGUGGUUGCCAAAGAAUGGGAAAACAUUCUUUUAUCAGAUUCAAUGCUUUGUAAAAAACUUCAGGAAGGACGCAAAGAAGAUUCAUCCAGUUGUACACCCAUUCUCCCGGAAAAUAUACGAUAUAUAGCAAAACGCAGAGAGGCUUUGUUGGAGAUCAUUGAAAACCCUUCUCCUCAAGAAGAUCCAUUUGAAGGAUUGAUUCACAAAAUCGAACAAGGAUGUCGCUUGAGGUGUUAUAGCAGUAAUAUUUUGGGACUUCGAUAUUUCGAUUGAUGUAGUUUGGAACUUCACAGACUGGAU